UCGAAGCAACGCGAAGAACCUUACCUAAGCUUGACAUCCCAAUGACAUCUCCUUAAUCGGAGAGUUCCCUUCGGGGACAUUGGUGACAGGUGGUGCAUGGUUGUCGUCAGCUCGUGUCGGGAGAUGUUGGGUUAAGUCCCGCAACGAGCGCAACCCUUGUCUUUAGUUGCCAUCAUUAAGUUGGGCACUCUAGAGAGACUGCCAGGGAUAACCUGGAGGAAGGUGGGGAUGACGUCAAAUCAUCAUG
rnacentral:rRNA from 1 species